ACCUCGGUGGUGUAGUCGGUUAGCACAAUAGAGUAUAGAAUCUAUGGUUGCGGGUCUGAGUCUCGUCUGAGGUU
rnacentral:tRNA from 1 species